rnacentral:lncRNA from 1 species
GGGGUUUUUUCUCUGUUGAAGUCGGAGCUGAGUCCGGCUCCCUUGGGAGUCCAAGCAGAGAAGUCCUCCUGAAGUUGGAGUAGCUUGGUUCUCGUAGGGGCCAGGGCAAAGCUUUCAUUUUCCUGCAAUCAAAGUCCUAGGCAAAGUCCGGCUUCUGUAGAAGUCCGGGCGGGGUUGUCCUGUAGCUGAUGUCGGCGAUGGAGCCCGGCUCCCGUAGGAGUCCGGGUGAAGUCUUCCUUGGCGUCGCAAACGGAACCCGGCCCCC